rnacentral:misc_RNA from 1 species
GAUGAAGAACGUAGCGAAAUGCGAUAAGUAAUGUGAAUUGCAGAAUUCAGUGAAUCAUCGAAUCUUUGAACGCACAUUGCGCCCGCCAGUAUUCUGGCGGGCAUGCCUGUUCGAGCGUCAUUACAACCCUCAAGCCCCCCGGCUUGGUGUUGGGGACCGGCCACCGGUGCCCUGCUGCUUCCGCGACAGGCGCACCCGGCCGCCCCCGAAAUGAAUUGGCGGCCCCGUCGCGGCCUCCCUCUGCGUAGUAGCACACAUCUCGCAGCUGGAGCGCGGCGCGGCCACUGCCGUAAAACGCACCAACUUUUUUUACAGUUGACCUCGAAUCAGGUAGGAAUACCCGCUGAACUUAAGCAUAUCAAUAAGCGGAGGA